AUUGAAGAGAUAUGAAAGAAAGUUCUUGGACGUGAAUCUGUAUCAAAAUCGGAUGUAAUAACUGAUAGUUUAUUUUGUCACUAAUAAUACUUAUUUUUCAGGCACAUAUAAAUUUAUCAUAUCAAGAAAUGUAUAGAAUUCAUAAAUGUCAAAUAUCAUCUCUCGGGAAGUCUCAUUUUAAAUAAAAAAAGCUUCUUCAGGGAUUAAAUUACAUGCAAACUCAUAGAAUGAGAAACUUCCUUAUUCUUGGUGUAUGAACAUAAGAAUUUCUAGAUAACAAACGGUUCUUGGGGGCACAUAUAAAUUUAUCAGAUC